rnacentral:rRNA from 1 species
UAGAAUGUAAAUUCCUCAAGUGUUGCCUGCUCAGUGAUUUUAAAGUAUAUAUAAAUUAAUUUAUUAUAAAAUAAAAUUAAACAGCUGCCUUAGGUAACGAGGGUGAUAAUUAAGCAUAAUCUGAUACCGUUUGAAUGGCGGAGCGUUGAAUGGAGUUACGAGCGUGUCACUGUCUUAAUUGAAAAACCUAUGAAUUUGAAGUACUAGUUAAGAUGCUAGUUAAAAUUGUAAGACGAGAAGACCCUAUAGAGCUUUACUAUAUACUUUUUUACUUUUAUUAUAAAAUUAUAAAGAGAAUAGUUCUUUUUAAGUAUAAUUAUAUGGAUAUAAGAAAGUGUGGUAGUUUAGGUGGGGAGCCUACCUAUUAUUAAAAACAUAGUGUUAACAAUAUAGAUAACAAUCUAUUUAUUGUGUAAAUUUUAUUUUUACCAGUUAUAAACAUAGGUGAAAUGACCCGUUUAGAAUAAUUAUAUAUUUUGCUAACGACAGAAAAUAAAAGCUACCUUAGGGAUAACAGAGUAAUGCUGAUCAGUAGAUCUUAUAUUGAUCAGGGGUUGCCACCUCGAUGUUGAAUUAUGUUGAUCAGGGGUUGCCA